UUUCUUUUAUGACACUUGCAAUAUCUUCUAUUUAGUUCUUUCAUCGUUCAUAUGUAUCAGUGCAGAAAGCAGAAAGAUCUUUAUCUUUGGAUGGUGAAGUGUCCAAGUGGGCCUUCUGUGAAGUUCUUGGUUAAUGCUGAUAUCCAGUAUCCCAAAGGACCACUGGAAAGUAAAACCUUUCCAUGACCAUGUCUUUGUCUAUCCAAUUGUCGAUGAUCACAUUCGGUUUCGCAAUUACCAGAUUUCUGUACCUCGCAAUGAGAUAGGCAAAGUCGAUCGAUCGAUUGAGGAGCUCUAGACAAAAUGACACUUGUGGAGAUCUGUGCCCUAGAGAAGAAGAAGAAGACAGCCGGAAAGUACACGAAGAAGGUCAAGGCAAAGAUGAGGAGGAAGAUGCAUGAACUCUUGAAUCCUUUAGAGCCCAAUGAGUUUGCAGAUUUAUGGAAUGAUUGAUUAAUGCACUUGGGAAUGUCUCUGGUGCAUGUGAAAUCCAAAUCCUGGACUGUUUCUAUGAUACAGUAACUUUACGCAAGACAUUCUCUAUUUAUCAAUUAUUAA